rnacentral:rRNA from 2 species
CCAGAAGCGGGGGAUAACACCUGGAAACAGAUGCUAAUACCGCAUAACAACUUGGACCGCAUGGUCCGAGUUUGAAAGAUGGCUUCGGCUAUCACUUUUGGAUGGUCCCGCGGCGUAUUAGCUAGAUGGUGGGGUAACGGCUCACCAUGGCAAUGAUACGUAGCCGACCUGAGAGGGUAAUCGGCCACAUUGGGACUGAGACACGGCCCAAACUCCUACGGGAGGCAGCAGUAGGGAAUCUUCCACAAUGGACGAAAGUCUGAUGGAGCAACGCCGCGUGAGUGAAGAAGGGUUUCGGCUCGUAAAACUCUGUUGUUAAAGAAGAACAUAUCUGAGAGUAACUGUUCAGGUAUUGACGGUAUUUAACCAGAAAGCCACGGCUAACUACGUGCCAGCAGCCGCGGUAAUACGUAGGUGGCAAGCGUUGUCCGGAUUUAUUGGGCGUAAAGCGAGCGCAGGCGGUUUUUUAAGUCUGAUGUGAAAGCCUUCGGCUCAACCGAAGAAGUGCAUCGGAAACUGGGAAACUUGAGUGCAGAAGAGGACAGUGGAACUCCAUGUGUAGCGGUGAAAUGCGUAGAUAUAUGGAAGAACACCAGUGGCGAAGGCGGCUGUCUGGUCUGUAACUGACGCUGAGGCUCGAAAGUAUGGGUAGCAAACAGGAUUAGAUACCCUGGUAGUCCAUACCGUAAACGAUGAAUGCUAAGUGUUGGAGGGUUUCCGCCCUUCAGUGCUGCAGCUAACGCAUUAAGCAUUCCGCCUGGGGAGUACGGCCGCAAGGCUGAAACUCAAAGGAAUUGACGGGGGCCCGCACAAGCGGUGGAGCAUGUGGUUUAAUUCGAAGCUACGCGAAGAACCUUACCAGGUCUUGACAUACUAUGCAAAUCUAAGAGAUUAGACGUUCCCUUCGGGGACAUGGAUACAGGUGGUGCAUGGUUGUCGUCAGCUCGUGUCGUGAGAUGUUGGGUUAAGUCCCGCAACGAGCGCAACCCUUAUUAUCAGUUGCCAGCAUUAAGUUGGGCACUCUGGUGAGACUGCCGGUGACAAACCGGAGGAAGGUGGGGAUGACGUCAAAUCAUCAUGCCCCUUAUGACCUGGGCUACACACGUGCUACAAUGGAUGGUACAACGAGUUGCGAACUCGCGAGAGUAAGCUAAUCUCUUAAAGCCAUUCUCAGUUCGGAUUGUAGGCUGCAACUCGCCUACAUGAAGUCGGAAUCGCUAGUAAUCGCGGAUCAGCAUGCCGCGGUGAAUACGUUCCCGGGCCUUGUACACACCGCCCGUCACACC